UACGUAGGGUGCGAGCGUUGUCCGGAAUUAUUGGGCGUAAAGGGCUCGUAGGCGGUUUUGUCGCGUCGGGAGUGAAAAACCUCGGGCUUAACUCGGGGGCUUGCUUUCGAUACGGGCGGACUGGAGGCCAGUAGGGGGGAUGCGGAAUUCCGGGUGUAGUGGUGGAAUGCGUAGAGAUCCGGAGGAACACCGGUGGCGAAGGCGGAUCUCUGGGCCAUUACUGACGCUGAGGAGCGAAAGCGUGGGGAGCGAACGGG
rnacentral:rRNA from 1 species